GCGGGCGUGAUGGAAUGGUAGACAUAUCGGACUUAAAAUCCGAAGGGCUUACGCCCGUGUGGGUUCGAGUCCCACCGCCCGCACCA
rnacentral:tRNA from 2 species